UUCCUUCGGGGCGCAGCAGUGGGGAAUAUUGCACAAUGGGGGAAACCCUGAUGCAGCCAUGCCGCGUGUGUGAAGAAGGCCUUCGGGUUGUAAAGCACUUUCAGCGAGGAGGAAAGGGUGUAAGUUAAUACCUUACAUCUGUGACGUUACUCGCAGAAGAAGCACCGGCUAACUCCGUGCCAGCAGCCGCGGUAAUACGGAGGGUGCGAGCGUUAAUCGGAAUUACUGGGCGUAAAGCGUGCGCAGGCGGUUUGUUAAGCGAGAUGUGAAAGCCCCGGGCUCAACCUGGGAACCGCAUUUCGAACUGGCAAACUAGAGUCUUGUAGAGGGGGGUAGAAUUCCAGGUGUAGCGGUGAAAUGCGUAGAGAUCUGGAGGAAUACCGGUGGCGAAGGCGGCCCCCUGGACAAAGACUGACGCUCAGGCACGAAAGCGUGGGGAGCAAACAGGAUUAGAUACCCUGGUAGUCCACGCCGUAAACGAUGUCUACUCGGAG
rnacentral:rRNA from 1 species